ensembl:lncRNA
GCAGGGCUGUUUCUCAGGCCUCUUUCAUUCAACCCUGUCCCCUGCCAAUCAGAGCCCUGAGCUGGACUCACUGCCGCCUGAAGACACAGGGAAGAGGAAGUGCUGGGGUUGGAGCGUCUAGGAACUGGCGAGCAGAAGCAUGUCCCAGCUGUGCGUGAAACCCUGGCUCAAGAAAUUCGAAAUCUCUGCCAAGGCUCACAGAGGUUGCCUAAGGUCACAAGGCAGUCGGUGCUGGGCCCUGGACAUGGACGCAGACCACAGCCCACUGAACGUGGGCCAAGGCUUUCAACCCACGCGCUGCGGCCAGAGGCCCGGAGGCCCAGGGGGUCAGAUGGGUUGGCAAACCCAGUGGAGACUCCUGAUUUGCUUAAGAGUCCCAUCCCCAGGAAGUGGUGGAAAGAACACAAGGCAAACUGCCCCACCCCCUGAAUCAUCUGCUUCAGCUGGUUACAUUGAUUCUUCAGUCCUUGGGCGAGCUGAGAAUUUUCCUGCAUCUCUCCUCUCCGGUAACCGCUUUGGACUUCCCUGGUGGCUCAGUGGUAAAGAAUCUACCUGCCAAUGCAGGAGACAUGGUUCCAGCCCCGGUCUGGAAAGAUCCUACAUGCCGAGGAGCAGCUGAGCCCGUGACCACAACUACCGACCCUGUGCUCUAGAGCCCGUGCUCUGACACGAGGGAAGCCACUGCAAUAAGAAGCCUGCUCAUCGCAACUAGAGAGCAGCCCGCACAGCAACAGAGACCCAGCACAGCCAAAAAUAAAUAAAUAAAUAAAA